rnacentral:rRNA from 1 species
UACGUAGGGCGCAAGCGUUGUCCGGAAUUAUUGGGCGUAAAGAGCUCGUAGGCGGUCUGUCGCGUCUGUUGUGAAAACUCGAGGCUCAACCUCGGGCUUGCAGUGGAUACGGGCAGACUAGAGUGCGGUAGGGGAGACUGGAAUUCCUGGUGUAGCGGUGGAAUGCGUAGAUAUCGGGAGGAACACCAGUGGCGAAGGCGGUUGCCUGGGGCUUUGCUGACGCUGAGGCGCGAAAGCGUGGGGAGCGAUCCGG